ACCUUUGGAUUCUAAUCUCAGGUCCCAAAUCUUUUGCCUUUUACUAAAGAUUUCCAUGGAGAGGAGUAACAGAGAAACUGAAGGCAAUUUUUGCAGGCCUCCCAGGUGGUGGAGCCU